ensembl:snRNA U6 U6 spliceosomal RNA
AACCUCUUGUAGUUUCUAUAUCAAAAUUGGAAUAAUGCAAAGAUUAGCAUGACCCCUUCACAUGGCUGGUUCAUAUUUGUGAAGUAUUGCAAAAAUUA